UACAGGGGUGGCAAGCGUUGUUCGGAAUUACUGGGCGUAAAGGGCGCGUAGGCGGUCCCGUCAGUCCCUUGUGAAAUCCCCCGGCUCAACUGGGGAACUGCAAGGGAUACAGCGGGGCUUGAGUAUGGGAGAGGUAAGCGGAAUUCCCGGUGUAGAGGUGAAAUUCGUAGAUAUCGGGAGGAACACCGGUGGCGAAGGCGGCGACCUGGGUAGAUACUGACGCUGAGGCGCGAAAGCGUGGGGAGCAAACAGG
rnacentral:rRNA from 1 species